GACGAAGGCUGCAAGCGUUAUCCGGAUUCAUUGGGUUUAAAGGGCGCGUAGGCGGUCUUAUAAGUCAGUGGUGAAAUCUCUGGGCUUAACCCAGAAAUUGCCAUUGAUACUGUAGGACUUGAGUAUAGUUGCCGUUGGCGGAAUAUGACAUGUAGUGGUGAAAUACAUAGAGAUGUCAUAGAACACCGAUUGCGAAGGCAGCUAACGAAACUAUAACUGACACUGAGGCUCGAAAGUGUGGGGAGCAAACAGG
rnacentral:rRNA from 1 species